GCUCUGCCGAUCCCCCACUACCACAAAUUAUGCAGUCGAGUUUCCCACAUUUGGGGAAAUCGCAGGGGUCAGCACAGCCGGAGUGCAAUGGAUGAGCCUCGCCCUGGGAAAACCACCUUCGUGAUCAUGGUCGGAAGAGGACACG